rnacentral:rRNA from 1 species
AGUCCACGCUGUAAACGAUGUCGAUUUGGAGUUUGUUGCCUAGAGUGAUGGGCUCCGAAGCUAACGCGAUAAAUCGACCGCUGGGGAGUACGGCCGCAAGGUUAAAACUCAAAUGAAUUGACGGGGGCCCGCACAAGCGGUGGAGCAUGUGGUUUAAUUCGAUGCAACGCGAAGAACCUUACCUGGUCUUGACAUCCAUAGAAUUCUGCAGAGAUGUGGGAGUGCCUUCGGGAACUAUGAGACAGGUGCUGCAUGGCUGUCGUCAGCUCGUGUUGUGAAAUGUUGGGUUAAGUCCCGCAACGAGCGCAACCCUUAUUCUUUGUUGCCAGCGAUUUGGUCGGGAACUCAAAGGAGACUGCCGUUGAUAAAGCGGAGGAAGGUGGGGACGACGUCAAGUCAUCAUGGCCCUUACGACCAGGGCUACACACGUGCUACAAUGGCGUAUACAAAGGGAAGCGAAGGUGCGAGCUGGAGCGGACCUCAUAAAGUACGUCUAAGUUCGGAUUGGAGUCUGCAACUCGACUCCAUGAAGUCGGAAUCGCUAGUAAUCGUAGAUCAGAAUGCUACGGUGAAUACGUUCCCGGGCCUUGUACACACCGCCCGUCACACCAUGGGAGUGGGUUGCACCAGAAGUAGAUAGCUUAACCGCGAGGGGGGCGUUUACCACGGUGUGAUUCAUGACUGGGGUGAAGUCGUAACAAGGUAACCA